UACAGAGGGUGCGAGCGUUAAUCGGAAUUACUGGGCGUAAAGCGUGCGCAGGCGGUUGUGCAAGACAGAUGUGAAAUCCCCGGGCUUAACCUGGGAAUUGCAUUUGUGACUGCACGGCUAGAGUGUGUCAGAGGGGGGUAGAAUUCCACGUGUAGCAGUGAAAUGCGUAGAUAUGUGGAGGAAUACCGAUGGCGAAGGCAGCCCCCUGGGAUAACACUGACGCUCAUGCACGAAAGCGUGGGGAGCAAACAGG
rnacentral:rRNA from 1 species